AGAAAAGAACUUUAUGCAGACAUAGAAGAAGGUGACCUGCCUGCCCUGAUGGAAACAGACGACGAUGAGAUGACACCCCAGUCUCCUCUACCUCCCACCACCCCAACCUCCGACAACUCAGCCAUCAUCAGUGUGCCUGCUGGCUCCCCGAUUCCGGCAUACACUGUAAGUGCAAGAAACACACUACAAUCAAUGAAAAAUAACUACAUGCUGAUGGACAAAUAACCAAUGUGUGAAUGACAGCAAAUUGUGC